GGGGGACACCGGGGAGGGAAAGGCAGAGCCGGAAGACCGGGCGUUGGAAACAAACAGUGAUGGGAAGCUUUUGGAGCAGAGGAAUGACACAUUUGAUUUAGGCUUCAGAAAGGGUUGUCGCUGCCAUCACGUUUGUGGGGCCCAGCAGAGCGCGGUGGGCGCGGACCAGCUGCUGCGGCUGUGAGUAAUUUGUUACUAAGAAUAGUUAGCGCCCCUCUCCCGGCCGCCGUCUCCAAGCGGCCACGCGCAACGGCGAGGCUGGACCCCCGGCCCCGACGCCGGCUUGGACGCGGCCCCCCGGCCCCCCAUUCGAGCGCCCCAUCCAGGCCCCCGCCCCCACCCCCCGCUCACCUGGGCCUCGGCGGCCCGGGGAUGUGCUCGUAGCGGCUGCGAGCGCGGUGCACGAAGGUGCAGAAGAGGCCGAAGGCAACCAGGACGGCGCUGCCGAGCAGCAGCAGCAGCCCGGGGCUCAUGGCUCCCGGGCAGGCCAGGCCUGGGUCGGGGCCGGGCACCGAGGGGGCGGGAGGCCGCGAGCCGACUCAGCUGUCAGCGCCGCGCCGCCUCGGCCCCAGGCCCGGCGCGACCCAGCACCGCCCACUCCCUCUCGGCUCCUCCCCUGCCGGCUCGACCCCUCCCAGGGCUCUCCGUCCCGGCCAACCACGUCUCCGCCACCCGCUCCAGCUCUCGGCGCCCGCCCCUGCCCCGCCCCUAGCUCCGCCCCAACCCCAACACCGCCCCCCCCCCGCGCUCAGGCCCCGCCCAGAGCAUGAGAUCUUCUCCAAUCACAAUGACGCUUCUGGCUCAGUCCCCCCACGCUCCGCCCUCCCCCCCCCUCCUCCCCAGGUCCCGCCCCCAGCUCCUCAAGCUCUAUCCUAGCAGCAGCUCCGCCCAGAACGCGUUGUCCUUGGCAACCCCGUUUCCUCCGCGCUUCCUGCCCCGGCGGCAGAGCAAGGUCCAGCUGGCUGUUUCCGCCCCCUAGGGCGCCUGCAAAUAAACGCGUUCUCUGCGCGCGGUCCUAGGCCCCUUUCCUUCUCCCUGAAACCUCCCUGGGAACCCCAUCCCAGACUCCAAACGUCCGUAUUGCGCCGACUGUUCCCAAAACCUCUCUCUGGAACCCCCAACCCCCACAAGCUGGCUCCGCCUGCCUGGUGGGUCCACGCCUAGCGUUCCUGGUCUCCUCGCGGGGCCACGGGGCAGGUGGCGAGGACCCCGGGGACACGGGGAAGCUGUGUCAGCGACUGAAGAGCGCACAGCUGGACCAGAGUCUGCUCUCCCUGCGUCUUGGCGCCUCCAGGAAAAGCCAAGUCGGAGGCGCUGACCCCAGUCCGAAGGAGCCCGAGUUGGAGUGCGUGAAAGUCUGGGUGCGCAAGGUGGCCCCUCGAGGGAAAGCGAGAAAUGUGCCCGCCGUGGCCAAAGGGUAUUUCUGAAGUAAUAACCUAAACUUCCCUCCCGUUUACGUAACCACCUUGUCUUCACCCGUCUGGGUGUCACAGAUGCAGCCAGUUUUGCGCUUUUAGGUCUCAUUCCUACGCUGGCGGGGGGGGGGGGGCACCCAGAGUGGGAGCAGGGGAUGGGAAGGGCCGGGUGUACACACUCCUGGUCCCGAUAAAGCUCCAAAGGGCUGGGGAGGAGGCACCCAAAGAUGGACGCUGCCGAGUUCCUGAGAACGAGACAUUCCCCUGCCUCAUUCGUGGGCCAGUCCCGGAGAGGUGUGGGGGGCUGGAAACAGAAGGUCCGUGUACCUCCUUGCCAGGUGCAGCCAGGGACAGCCCCCACUACGGACAGAAUUCUUCGGGGUGUGUGGGUUGCAGGGUGACGAAGAGGGACACAGUUUAAGAGCUGGACCCAGAAGAGACAGGAUUUCUGUCCCCAAACCACCGCAGCCUGGGCGCAUCCCUCCUGGCGCAGGGAGCUGGGGAGCCGCACGCGUCUACGGUUAGGGGGUUAGGGCUGGGGCACGUUGGCCUGCCACCGCGCCCCCACGUGGCGGUGAGAAGCAGCCGCUGGCUGGCCCUGCUUGGAGCGGUGGAUGGGGUGGGCAGGUUAUACAGCCCCUCCUGGGCUGUGAAAGCACCAGGGGUUGCAGGCAAUUUGGAGGGAGGGCUCCCAACAAUUGUCUUUUGAGGACAAUGCCAGGUCCUAAACUGCCCUAGGCACAGUCUGGGGUCUCACAUGAGGCAGGCAUAGGGAGAGCCUCAAGGUACAUUUGUGAGCCUGUGCAGCUAGAGCUCAGGAGAGGCAUGGGCGUUAUUACUCUCUGGUGCAUCACUCAACACCAGUAACCUCUGACUUAAUGUGACUAUGGCUCAACUGGCAUUUCCGUCAAUAGAGCACCCCUGUCCCUGACUCGGGCGAGUCAACAGUGUCCCCUCCCCACGUACCAAGUCCACUGCUGUCCCACUGCCAUCUCAUCCGAUUCUCCCAGCUCUCCUGUGAUCAGGCCACCCCAAAGCUCAGGUGGGUCUCAGACAGCACUGGGCAGGCAGCACUACAAGCUGCCAGCAGAGGGCGCUGCCUGGAAGCAUGUGGCCAACCACCUGGCCCUUCGUUGGAAGGUUUAGACUGGGCUUUCCAGUAUGGUAGCCACCGGCCACAUGUGCCAAUCCAGCCCGUGAAACAUGGCUAGGCCACAGGCAUCCGGGUGGCUCAGUCAGUUGAGUAUUUGAUUCUUGAUUUCAGCUCAGGUCAUGAUCUCACGGCUUGUGGGAUCAAGCCCCACGUCCAGCUCUGUGCUGACAGCGUGGAGCCUGCUUGGGAUUCUCUUCUUUCUCUCCACCCUGCCCCCCCCCACACACACACAUACACAUGCUCUCU